ACAUUCUAUCAAAUUCUGCUGAAGCAGUCACUUGCUGUGUCUAUCAGAUUAAGUCAACAUAAGAAUGAGGUGAAAACAUUGUACCAAAAGAUAGAUCGGGAGACCACUUCUCUCAGGGAACUAUGGAUGGAGAGAAUGCACUUCGCUGGAAGAUGUGUAGAUGUGAACAACAAAGACAUGGAAAUGCAUGAGAAAAUGUGCCUCAAGAUAAGGACCGAGAUUGAGAAGCGGAAGCAUAUUGGGGUGGAGUUUGAGGAGGUUCUGAACAGACAGCAGCAACUACUUCACAGUGACUGGAGAUG